GGGAGAGUUUGAUCCUGGCUCAGGACGAACGCUGGCGGCAUGCCUAAUACAUGCAAGUCGAACGCGACCAGCCGGUGCUUGCACUGGCGAAGUCGAGUGGCGAACGGGUGAGUAACACGUGAGAAACCUACCCUGGAGUGGGGAAUAACUCGAAGAAAUUCGAGCUAAUACCGCAUACCUUCUUACCGUCGAAUGGUGGUUUGGGGAAAGAUUUAUCGCUCUGGGAGGGUCUCGCGGCCUAUCAGCUAGUUGGUGAGGUAACGGCUCACCAAGGCAUCGACGGGUAGCUGGUCUGAGAGGACGAUCAGCCACACUGGAACUGAGACACGGUCCAGACUCCUACGGGAGGCAGCAGUAGGGAAUCUUGCGCAAUGGGCGAAAGCCUGACGCAGCAAUGCCGCGUGCGGGACGAAGGCCCUAGGGUCGUAAACCGCUUUCAGUAGGGACGAAAAUGACGGUACCUGCAGAAGAAGCUCCGGCCAACUACGUGCCAGCAGCCGCGGUAA
rnacentral:rRNA from 1 species